UUUCUUUCUUUCUUUUGUUCUGAAUCAAUUUACUUGACUGUGAAUUUGUGGCGAAGAAAAUUUUCCUUCUCUUCGUUUAUCAUAAUUCAAUAGCAUUAUGCUAACAGUUACAGGAUCUAGACUCAUGUUUAUCUUUUACAAAGAUGAUCUUUUUGGGCCAUCAUUUGCUAAGGAAAAUCUGCGGGAUGUAACAUUAAUAUGCAGAACUGCAUAUGUCUCUUCUGGAAUAACCACGUGAACCACCAAAUAGUUGGUCCUGGAAGAACUGUGGAGCAUUCAUCUGACGUUACAAUGUUUGUGCGGAUUGGAAAAUUUUAUGAUGUAUACAAAAUAAGACCUGUAAUGAGUGAUUAUGAUAAUCUGCUAGGCUAGUUAUGAACCAGGACUAUAUAGUUUGCAAUUUACAAUACUUUGGUUGUUAGCUCCUUUUUGUUGUACCUGCUUUUAUAUCCUGAUGUUAGCGAAAAGAGUGAAUAAAAUAUUAUUUUUGCACACC